rnacentral:rRNA from 1 species
AUUGAACGCUGGCGGCAGGCUUAACACAUGCAAGUCGAGCGGUAGCACAGGGGAGCUUGCUCCCUGGGUGACGAGCGGCGGACGGGUGAGUAAUGUCUGGGAAACUGCCUGAUGGAGGGGGAUAACUACUGGAAACGGUAGCUAAUACCGCAUAACGUCGCAAGACCAAAGAGGGGGACCUUCGGGCCUCUUGCCAUCAGAUGUGCCCAGAUGGGAUUAGCUAGUAGGUGGGGUAAUGGCUCACCUAGGCGACGAUCCCUAGCUGGUCUGAGAGGAUGACCAGCCACACUGGAACUGAGACACGGUCCAGACUCCUACGGGAGGCAGCAGUGGGGAAUAUUGCACAAUGGGCGCAAGCCUGAUGCAGCCAUGCCGCGUGUGUGAAGAAGGCCUUCGGGUUGUAAAGCACUUUCAGCGAGGAGGAAGGUGGUGAGCUUAAUACGUUCAUCAAUCGACGUUACUCGCAGAAGAAGCACCGGCUAACUCCGUG